CGACCCAUGGCCGAAUUUGUGAUGGCAAUGCUAAUUGGUGAAGAGGUGGGUUCGAGUCCCACUGGAUCAA
rnacentral:tRNA from 1 species